AACGCUAGCUACAGGCUUAACACAUGCAAGUCGAGGGGAAACGACAUCGAAAGCUUGCUUUUGAUGGGCGUCGACCGGCGCACGGGUGAGUAACGCGUAUCCAACCUGCCCACCACUUGGGGAUAACCUUGCGAAAGUAAGACUAAUACCCAAUGAUAUCUCUAGAAGACAUCUGAAAGAGAUUAAAGAUUUAUCGGUGAUGGAUGGGGAUGCGUCUGAUUAGCUUGUUGGCGGGGUAACGGCCCACCAAGGCGACGAUCAGUAGGGGUUCUGAGAGGAAGGUCCCCCACAUUGGAACUGAGACACGGUCCAAACUCCUACGGGAGGCAGCAGUGAGGAAUAUUGGUCAAUGGGCGAGAGCCUGAACCAGCCAAGUAGCGUGCAGGAUGACGGCCCUAUGGGUUGUAAACUGCUUUUAUAGGGGAAUAAAGUGAGCCACGUGUGGUUUUUUGCAUGUACCCUAUGAAUAAGGACCGGCUAAUUCCGUGCCAGCAGCCGCGGUAAUACGGAAGGUCCGGGCGUUAUCCGGAUUUAUUGGGUUUAAAGGGAGCGUAGGCCGGAGAUUAAGCGUGUUGUGAAAUGUAGAUGCUCAACAUCUGCACUGCAGCGCGAACUGGUUUCCUUGAGUACGCAUAAAGUGGGCGGAAUUCGUGGUGUAGCGGUGAAAUGCUUAGAUAUCACGAAGAACUCCGAUUG
rnacentral:rRNA from 1 species